rnacentral:rRNA from 1 species
AUUGAACGCUGGCGGCAGGCUUAACACAUGCAAGUCGAGCGGGGUGAUGGUGCUUGCACUAUCACUUCGCGGCGGACGGGUGAGUAAUGCUUAGGAAUCUGCCUAUUAGGGGGGGACAACAUCUCGAAAGGGAUGCUAAUACCGCAUACGUCCUACGGGAGAAAGCAGGGGAUCACUUGUGACCUUGCGCUAAUAGAUGAGCCUAAGUCGGAUUAGCUAGUUGGUGGGGUAAAGGCCUACCAAGGCGACGAUCUGUAGCGGGUCUGAGAGGAUGAUACGCCACACUGGGACUGAGACACGGCCCAGACUCCUACGGGAGGCAGCAGUGGGGAAUAUUGGACAAUGGGGGGAACCCUGAUCCAGCCAUGCCGCGUGUGUGAAGAAGGCCUUAUGGUUGUAAAGCACUUUAAGCGAGGAGGAGGCUCUUUUGGUUAAUACCCAAGAUGAGUGGACGUUACUCGCAGAAUAAGCACCGGCUAACUCUGUGCCAGCCGCCGCAGUAA